UACGUAGGGUGCGAGCGUUAAUCGGAAUUACUGGGCGUAAAGCGUGCGCAGGCGGUUCGUUAAGACAGAUGUGAAAUCCCCGGGCUUAACCUGGGAACUGCAUUUGUGACUGGCGAGCUAGAGUAUGGCAGAGGGGGGUAGAAUUCCACGUGUAGCAGUGAAAUGCGUAGAGAUGUGGAGGAACACCGGUGGCGAAGGCGGGUCUCUGGGCCGAUACUGACGCUGAGGAGCGAAAGCGUGGGGAGCGAACAG
rnacentral:rRNA from 1 species